rnacentral:snoRNA from 13 species
AGGCAGCCUCUUUGCUGAAAAGAAGAUAGCAAAGAAGGUGUUAAACUGCUCGUACAUUAAUUUGUCUUAUGCUCUUCAGACUUGCUGAGACUUCUCUGUCUUUGAAGCUGGUCUAGUAAGCCUAAGCACAUC